CUUGCCUUGUCUGAUUAGUGGCGAACGGGUGAGUAACACGUGAGUAACCUGCCCCCCUCUUCGGGAUAACCUCGGGAAAUCGGGGCUAAUACCGGAUAUGACUUCGCACCGCAUGGUGUGUUGUGGAAAGUUUUUCGGUGGGGGAUGGACUCGCGGCCUAUCAGUUUGUUGGUGAGGUAAUGGCUCACCAAGGCGAUGACGGGUAGCCGGCCUGAGAGGGCGACCGGCCACACUGGGACUGAGACACGGCCCAGACUCCUACGGGAGGCAGCAGUGGGGAAUAUUGCACAAUGGGCGAAAGCCUGAUGCAGCGACGCCGCGUGGGGGAUGACGGCCUUCGGGUUGUAAACCUCUUUCAGCAGGGAAGAAGCGAGAGUGACGGUACCUGCAGAAGAAGCGCCGGCUAACUACGUGCCAGCAGCCGCGGUAAUACGUAGGGCGCAAGCGUUGUCCGGAAUUAUUGGGCGUAAAGAGCUUGUAGGUGGCUUGUCGCGUCUGCCGUGAAAACCCGAGGCUCAACCUCGGGCGUGCGGUGGGUACGGGCAGGCUAGAGUGUGGUAGGGGAGACUGGAACUCCUGGUGUAGCGGUGAUAUGCGCAGAUAUCAGGAAGAACACCGAUGGCGAAGGCAGGUCUCUGGGCCAUUACUGACACUGAGAAGCGAAAGCAUGGGGAGCGAACAGGAUUAGAUACCUGGUAGUCAAGGCCGUAAAGUUGGGGCACUAGGGGUUGGG
rnacentral:rRNA from 1 species